UCCCCGGCGUCUGCACCGUCGAACACACGCGGAUACACGAAACUACAACGAAGGCGGCAACAACAGUAACCAGAAAAAGAAGGAAGCCACCUGUGCGCUGAGCCUCCACUCGAAGUCACCUAUCUGCUCCACCACACAUCACGUGUGUCUCUUCCCCCUCUCAUCCUUCCUCCCAGCUCUCGAGGUACCCUUGCACCCUCCCUUCCUCUUCCUCUAUCUGAUACCUCCCCGCGCAUCCUCCUCCACGGUUACGCGUCGGAUAGAAAGCGCGCGCACAGACAUCCGCACAGACGCGAUGCCGGACUUCAGCCAGUUCAUUAAGUACCUCAACGCCAACCUCCACGCACCGACUGGUCAGUACGCCGCGCAGGGCGGCGUAGGCGGAAAGGGCUCUGGUGGGGCUAGUGGUGCGACUGAAGCUACGAGCCCUGCUUCCCAUGGUGACGCCUCUGCCUUCACCCGCUCCUGCGACACAACGUGGCGGGUGCUGCUGCCGAGCGAUGCAGCUGCUAAGGAAAGCGGGACACGAUCCAGCGGCCCAUCCGCUGCGGCGGCAGCAGCCCAUACAUCCCCAUCGCACCCCUCCGUGACGAUUGGGCGGAUGAUGGUGUCCACAGAGGACCGCUGGCGUAUUCAGGCACAGAUGCGCCGUGAGGAAGCGCGCACUGGGCAAGCGCGGAAGGAGUACAACAAGAAGGUGACGCGUGCCAUCAAGGUAACGAAGGGGCCGUCCGAAAACGCCUUCCCCCCAGGUCGUGGUCGUCCGCUGUAGUGCACGCAGUGAGACCGCGGCAGGGUAGUAGCGUCUGUUGAGCCAGUAUGGGCAAACAGCUUCGCUGGCUUGUGAGCACAGAUGCAAGCAUACCCGCACACUGCCGCGGCGCAGUGAGCCGUGUGUGUGCCUCUGAGCGUGUGCGAGUCAGAGAAAGGAGGGGCGGCGGUGUGACCCAGCACACACCUCACCGCUGGUGCCACACGUGCGGGCUCCUCUUCCUUUCUGUUUGUUCUGGUGAUAAGAGUGGCAGCCCUCUCCUUGCUGCCAACGUGGGCGUAUUGUCGAUGCCCCCUCCACCCUCUUUCUCCUCCUCCGGUGAGUAGGCGCGAGGAAGGAGCCCUUG
rnacentral:misc_RNA from 1 species